UAAUAUUUAUUAAUUUAAAAUUCAGAUUUGUUUUUAAAAUACUUUAACUUAAAUGUAGCUGACUGUAACAGCAUAUGCAUGCUUCUUGGUUUACAAAAUAAAAAAAACUCUGGCUUUAACUUUAAACUUAACUUAAAGAAAUGCAUUAUGUUGUUUUAAUUUUGUGAAAAGCUAAGCAAGGGUUAUCACCACUAGCCAACCCUAAUUUAGCAGUUACAGACAAAGCAGCUAGUCAAUAUCAUCAACUGACAACUUGGGCUGCUCUUACUAAGGAAUAGUGGGAUUGAUUGCCACAAUAUAAUUUCUACUAUAUUUGAAAUGGCGAGCAUGUUGGGUGUGAAGGGUAUUGAAACCCAUGAACCUUAGAUUGCAAGUCAAACUUUCUAACCAUCAGACUUUAACUGCAUUGUGAAACAUAUAUUAUCAAUAUUAUUAUAAGUAGAUAUUUUGUAAAAUAGGCUUACUCCUGCUAACAUAGGUGAAUACAGAAGCUUCAGAUCAUUAUUAGCCUAUUCUGUUGAACAAUAAUUACAGCAAAAAAAUCAUUCUCAUAUAGUUAUACAGGGGACAAAAGACCAUAGAGGGAA